rnacentral:rRNA from 1 species
UACGUAGGCAGCAAGCGUUGUUCGGAAUUACUGGGCGUAAAGAGUGUGUAGGCGGUGCUCUAAGUUCGGUGUGAAAUCUCCCGGCUCAACUGGGAGGGUGCGCCGAAAACUGGGGUGCUGGAGCGCGGGAGAGGAAAGCGGAAUUCCUGGUGUAGCGGUGAAAUGCGUAGAUAUCAGGAGGAACACCGGCGGUGUAGACGGCUUUCUGGACCACAACUGACGCUGAGGCGCGAAAGCUAGGGGAGCAAACAGG